rnacentral:tRNA from 6 species
GGAGACGUGACCGAGAGGCCGAAGGUGCUCCCCUGCUAAGGGAGUAUGCGGUGAUGAGCUGCAUCAAGGGUUCGAAUCCCUUCGUCUCCGCCA